rnacentral:snRNA from 1 species
GUGCUUGCUUCGGCAGCACAUAUACUAAAAUUGGAAUGAUACAGAGAAGAUUAGCAAGGCCCCUGUGCAAGGAUGACACGCAAAUUCAUGAAGCGUUGCAUAGUUUU